UCUAAAUCCCUUAAUGGUAUUUUAUUGGGUUGUUUUGUUUUUUUGGUUUUUUUUUUUUUUUUUGGUACCAGGGAUCCAACUCAGAACCUUGAGCUUUUGAGGCAGGCAGCGGAACCACUGAGCUAAAUCCCCAGCCCUCUUAAUGGUAUUUUAAGUGAACACGUUUUAAUUUGAAUGUUGAUCAACGUUUUCUUUUAUCAUUUGUGCUUUGUAUCCUGAUUUUUUUUCUUUGUAUCCUGCUUAAGAAAUCUUUGUGAUCUAAAGAUUAUGAAGAUUUUUCUUCCAAAGUCACAUUCUUUUUACGUUUUCCAUUUGGAUAUGUGACCCAUCUGAAAUUGAUGUGUGUAAGGUAGGGUCAAGAUUCCUUUUUCCAAAUUAAGACAUGUUAUGUACAUGUACCAGCUCCUCACAAGGAACGUAAGCAUUAUGUCAUACAAACGAGCACUAAAAAAAGAAUAUAAUGAGGCACUCUAAAAUGGUUAAAACAGCAAAUAAUCAUGUAUAUUUUAUCACAAAAAUAUCACAAGUAGCCCACAGAGUCAUUGUAAAGUUUAAAAGACAAUAUAAGGCGCUAACACCUACAAAUGCUCAGAAAAUGUUGGCUAUCAUUGCCCUCAUUUUGCCCCUCUUCCUCCUCAUCAUGAGGUUUUCCCAUUCAGAAAGGGAUCUUAUCUCAGAGGGCUAUCAAUCCUCCAACUGCCUAGAAAGAGGGCCUUGGUCUGGCCUUACAAAUAGGAUACAUAUUGUGAACCUUGAGACUAACUGGAUACAUUUUCAAGGCUAACAGAGAGGACAUAACAGAAUACCUGUUGUGAAUACUAAAGCUAACAGGAUAAACAUAUAUAUUUUGUGGUGGCUUACACUGUGAUUAUAUAAAGUAUCACUCAUUGGGAGGGUUUGUGGAUCUGCCUGUUUCUGGAUAAGGCCUGUGAGAAUUCUUAAGGCUUAAAGACCUGAAAGUUGAAAACUUUUUUUUUUUUUUGAGACGGUCUUGCUGUGUGGUUCAGGCUGGCCCUGAACUCACUAUGUAGCCCAGGCUGGCCUUGAACUUGUGGUGAUCCUCCUGCCUCUGCCUCCUGAGUGCUGGGAUUACAGGUGUGUGCCAGCAUGCCUGGCUAAAAGUUUAAAACUUUAGCAAUAAAACUUCCGAACUGAGAGGAAUGUUCAUUUCUUCUGUGAUCUUUCUUUCCUGCUCAUUUUUAAAAGUGCAUACCAAGCAUUGGGGUUAAAAUGGUCAGCAAGAUAGACAUGAUCUCUGACUUAUCAGAACAUAUUAGAAAAAGAGCUUACCACCUAGGAGGGGAGACUACUACCAGGCCUAUUGGUACAUACCUGUAGUCCCAGCACUAGGGAGGCUCAGGCAGGGGGAUUGCCGUGAGCUCAAAGCCAGCCUGGGCUACACAGUCAGUUCAAGGCCAGCGUGAACUACAUAACGAGACCCUAUCUCAAAAAUAAAUAAAUAAAUACAAACAACUACAACAUGGAACACAUCCUUUUCAGCCCGGAGGCUCAUGGGUAGGGAAGGUUAUCAGGAAGAGCGCAUCAGGAGGAAUAACUCUACACUGAGAAUGAAAGACUGAGUAGGGGUGAAUCAAGGGAAGAGUGGGAAGAGAAAAGAGAUUAAAGAGGACUGGGGAUUUAGCUCAGUGGUUUCGCUGCCUGCUGUGCAAGCGCAAGUACCUGAGUUUGAUCCCCGGUACCAAAAAACAAAAAAAAAAAGAGAUUAAAGAGAAAGGGAGAGAGAGAGAGGGAGGGAGAGAGGGAGAGAGACAGAAACUAUAUGGGAGAGAAGCUUUAGUUUAGCAGAAGUCCAAAGGAAACAGUGGGAGAUGGGUUGGGAAGAGAAAAGAGGCUCUCGUUACAGAAAGUAUUAUAGACAGGCUAAGUUAUGUAGAAAUUCAUAUGCCGUCAGAGAGGGACUGGGCUCUCAAGGAAGUCAGUGCAGAAGAUGAGCACACAUCAGAUCUGGCUGGAGGCACAUCUAAAGAAAGUGAGGCUUGCCAGGGAUUUAGCUCAGGGGUUUCACCGCCUGCUGCCCAAGCGCAAGAACCUGAGUUCAAUCCCCAGUACCAAAAAAAAAAAAAAAAAAAAGGAGAAUAAAGAAAGUGGGGCCUUGAGAUAAAGUCACAAAGGCUAGACUUGCAUACCUCCCUAAGGGAUGAAUGGAAACUGGAGAUUAUACUGUCAUUGGUACCACCCUGUCCAUUAAAUCCAGAUAUGCAUCAGACACCACAAUGGGUGACCACAACACCUGGACUCAUCCCUUCCCCAAAUUGUUCCUGGUUUAGAAGUCUUUUUUUUUUCUUUUUGGUACUGGGGAUCGAACUUGGGUCCCUGUGCUUGCAAGGCAGGUGGCAGAACCACUGAGCUAAAUCCCCGGCCCUAGAAGUCUUAAAGAAGCCAAGGUUAGUGAUUUCAGUUGUAUAACCUUGCUAUGUGCAUGCCCCACUUCCCUACUGGAUCAAUAUUAGCUAAGGGACUAUUCUCAUACUCUUAUUGGUUGAUUAUAGUUUGGUCCACAUUGUACCCAUCUUGUGAUUCUGUACCCACCUCGUGAUUUUGCACUAUAAAACAGUAUUGGAGAGGCAGGAAUUUAGCUCAGUGGUACUGUGCCUGUCUCACAAGUGCAAGGUCAUGAGUUCAAUCCCUGGUACUAAAAAAAAAAUUUCUUGGAGAAAUGACCUCUGUGGCAAUCCACCCCUCUGGAGCUAUUUCUCAAUAAAUCUUUCCUACUCUUUUUUUUUUUUUUUGAGACAGGGUCUCGCUAUAUAGUCCAGGCUGGUAUUGAACUCACUAUGCACCCCAGGCUGGCUUCGAACUUGCGGCGAUCCUCCUGCCUCAGCCUCCCAAGUGCUGGGAAUACAGUAGCUAUUUGUGGGUGUACAGUAACCCAACAAAAAUGUCUCCAGGAAUCGUCUCAGGCCCACUGGAUGGCACCACACAUCAGGGCCAUUGUCUCAACUCUGUAGCCCUUUGUCCUGGUUCACCGUCCCCUGUUCAGAGAAUUUCCUGGCAAAGAUGCAAAGAGCCACGGCUCAGCAGAUACAACUGUCCUGGACUCAGACUCUGAUGACUCCCCAUUUGUGAGAAGCAGCUUUACACUGUCACCUAGGAGUGAAGAGACUUAAAAAAAAAAUCAUUGAUGUCCACUCUAAGUGAAGUCACUCUCACUUCUGCCUGUACCACUGUGAUAGCCUCCUGACAACUCUCCCAAUGUCUAGUCUUGCCUCUGAACAAUACUGUGUUGAUCCUCUAAAAUCAACCCACAUCAGAGCCAGAACAAUGGAAGAAGGCAUGGCCCUCGGGUAUUGCUCAAAUUCAGGACAAGAAGAACCUGGAAAGGAUCUCUAGAAGGGGCCCACAGCACUCCAGAACCCCAGUAAUAUUUUUGGCAAAGCCAGCCAGAAGAUGAGAAGAUCCUGGAAACUAACUCCAGACUCCUUGGACACCUUCUAUCCCCACUGGAUGUCUCAUCCUGCUCCUGAGAGAGGUCCCAGUGUAACCAGCUCCCUCUAGCUCUUGGGUCCUUGUUUGGGGGCAAUGAAAAUUGAAGCUGACAAAUCAGCAAACAGCAAGUGGUGGGGAAUGGUCAAAUGUGUGUUUAUUAGAAAAAAUAAAAGGUGGGCUGGGGAUUUAUUUAGCUCAGUGGUUCUGGCACCUGCCUUGUGAGCGCAAGGUCUGGAGUUCGAUCCCCAGUACCAAAAAAGAAAGAAAAAGAAGGAAAGAAAAAGAAAAAAUAAAAGGAAAAGCCCCCCAGUAGUCAGGGAGGGGUUCUGUAAGCCGGACACUGUAGAUGUUUAAAUCCAUUGGUGGCAGCUGCUGCUGCUACUUCUUCCUCUUUGUCUUGCUUCUACUUCCUCCUCUUCCUCUUUUUUUUUUUUUUUUUUUGGUACCGGGGAUCGAACUCAGAUCCUUGCACUUGCAAGGCAGGCAGUGGAACCACUGAGCUAAAUCCCCAGCCCUCUCUUCCUCUUCUUUGUUGUUGUUGCUGUUUUGUGUUUUGAGACAGGUCUCAUUAUGUAGUCCAGGCUAGCCUCGAACCCACAGUGACCUGCCUCAGGCUCCUGAGUGCUGGGAUUACAGGCAUGGGCCACUACACCUGAUGAAAUCAAGGAAGCUUUUGAUUGUACAAUCUAGAUCUAAUGCCAGUUUGAGGAAUGGGAAAUAUAAUAGAUUGUGGCCAUUAACCCUGUCACCCCUGUGCUUGCUUUCUUCAAUGGCCUGCUCUUACUCUGCGUUGCAUACUUCUUUUCCUACUUUAAUUGGCCCACACUUACUCUAAAGAACAUAUUUCUCUUGCUACCUUUAAUAAAUAUAAAACUUUGCUACCUUUUACACACCUUGACCAAUUCUUUGUUCAGGACAAGAACCUGAAAAGGGUCUCUAGAAGGAGCCUAUAGCAGGCCAGAACUCUGUUCACAGACACAUGGUUUGCUCUCAGUUCCAGUACAGACACAGAAUGCAAUAGACUUUCUCAACCAUGCCUGCCCCACAAGCUCAAGGACCCGAGUUCGAUUCCCAGUACCAAAAAAAAAAGAAAUAGACUUUCUUAAACAUAUGCCCUACGAACCUGUGUGUCAGUUGGUUUGGGUAGUAUUUUGGCUUAGGUAGGAGGUGGUUUAUAUACUUGGGAGUAGAAUUGCUGGGUUAUAAGACAAACACAAAUAUACAUAAUUUGAUUAAAUACAUUUAAAAGACCUACCAGAGAAAUUAUACCUGCAUUAACAAUUUAUGAAAAAUCUUAUUUCUACCACAUCCUCACCAGCCCUUUGAAUUAUCUUGAGUUUCUAACUUGAAGCUGUAUUACAGACAUAAAAUAUUACCUUGUUGUGUUAAUUUGGGUUUCUCUGAUUAGCAGGUCAGAGUUCAUACAGUUUUCACGCUAGAGUCUGUAGUGUUUGUGGGAGAAGAGAAAGAUGUCUCCCAUUCUCUGAGACACCAGUGAAAUGUGUCAGUUGCAUGCUCCCCUUCACUGCCCAAAGCUCGCUGCUCCCUCCUGGAUUCUUGCUUUGUACUUAAGGUUCAAAGUGAUUUCAAAGGUCUUUACGUGGCAACACUUUUUAAGCCUUGAAUAAAUACUUAUUUCAUUCUAGUGUUUACAUGGCAGGAUAGCUAUAGAUGGAAAUCCUAGUUUCAAAGUUCUUUGACUUCAAGCCUUGAAAAUAAUUUUACGUGAAUUUAUGGUUUCCUAAAUACAGUAAUACAUUGCUUUGUUUUGCUAAUUUAUUGUCCAGUUUUUCUCAGUAAAUAAGAAUAGGAGCAACUUGUCUUCUGAAAAUUGUUGUCUUCUUUCUUUUUUUUAUUUUUGUACCAGGGAUCGAACUCAGGAUCUUGCGCUUUCAAGGGAGGUGCCAGAACCACUGAGCUAAAUCCCCGGCCCUGAAACUUGUCUUCACUCAAUAUUAUAGUUCUAGUUUCAUCUAUUUUGUCACCUGUGGCUGUACAUAAUUCUAUUUCCUUCUGCAUAAUAUUCUACUUUUUAGGUAUAUUUGGGGGCUGGGUAUUUGGCUCAGGGGAAGAGGGCAGGUUUAGCAUGUGUGAGGGCCUGGUUCAAACCCCAGUACUAGCCUCCAGAUUACAAUGUAUCCAUUAUCCUGGUGACAAUAGACUAUUUCAUUUUUGUCUUUGAAAGACUAUUGCUAAAUGUAUUUUAUAUGUAUCUCUUAAUGGACACACACAAAAAAGUGUGGAGUAGAAAUGCUAGGUCAUAAAAUUUCCACAUCUUGGCUGUGGUGGCACACGCCUGUAAUCCCAGUACUUGGGAGGCAGAGACAGGAGGAUCACUGCAAAUUCAAGGCCAGCCUGGGCUACAUAGUGAGUUCAAGGCCAGCCUGCAUUACAGAGCAAGACUGUCUCAAAAAACAAAAAGAAAAUGUGCACAUCUUUAAUUGUAUUUGAUAAUACCAGCUUGUUUUCCAAAGGGUUCGUUCCACUUUACUCUCCUGCCAGCUGUAUAUAAGAAUUCUGGUUGACCCUCAUCCUUGAUGACACUUUGUAUUAUUAGGGCUCCUAACUUUGAAGAACAUAAUGGAUGGAAAUUGAUACAGGUACUUCUGGAUCUUAAUUUGCAUUUUCCAAUUAACUACAGGAAAUGAGCAUCUUAUCACUUUAUGGCUGGUUCUUCUAGGAAAUGUCAGUUCAAAUCUUUGCCCAUUUGUCUAUUGGGUUUUUUCUUGUUUGUAAUUUCUUUUUAAAAAACUAUUCUAAGGCCUCAGAUAUAGCUCAGUGGCAUAGUGCCUGCCUGCCUACCUGUCAAGCAGAAGGUCUUGAGUUUGAUCCUGGUAAAAACAAACAAAAAACAACCUCUAAACAAGCACUUGGGAGGCUGAGGCAGGAGGAUGGACACCAAUUUGAGGCCAGUUGAAGCUUCUUAGUGAGUUCAAGGCCAGUUGAACUACAUACCCAGACCCUAUCUCAAAACAAAUAAAGGGGAAGAGGAAGUGGGAAGGAUAGGGGAAAGAGGGGAAUGGAAUUAAUAUGAGAAAAUGAAAAAAUGGAAACAGUCUUUGUAAACAGG
ensembl:lncRNA